GCUAAAAGAUGCUGUUUAUGAUGCGGAGGACCUUUUAGAUGAGAUCUCUACUGAAUCUUUGCGAUGCAAGGUUGAAGCUGAAUCUCAAAGCAGUAUUACUCAGGUACAGAACUUUUGCUCUUCUUUUAACCCUUUUAAUAAGGGGGUGAAUUCGAAACUGGAAGAGGUCCUUGCAAGAUUAGAAUUUAUAGCAAAACAAAAGGAUGUUCUUGGUCUCAAAGAGGGUUUUGCAGAAAAAUCAUUACGGAGAUUAGAAGAGACUUCAGUGGUAGAUGAAUCUAGUGUGUAUGGUAGGGAUGCUGAAAAGGAGUCUAUAAUGAAAUUGUUGCUCUCAGAUGAAACUAGUGGAUAUGAUGAUAUUGGCGUUGUUACUAUCGUGGGUAUGGGUGGGAUUGGUAAA
rnacentral:misc_RNA from 1 species